GCUCUUUUCCUGCGGAGCGGCGGAGGUGGAAGGUAUGAAGUGGAAAUUUUCAAUGAUGAUCAAUAUAUUGUACAGAAGCAGUAAGCCCUUCAUGGAAACACCAUCAGAGCUAGAAGAAUAUAUGGUACACACAAGUGGAUUUUCUUGAAAGCUAUCUUUUGAAUAAUUUGCAGGGAUACAUUAAUAUGAAUGACAUAUGAGCAGUUUUGAAUAAUGGGGAAAUUCAUUAUGAUUUUCUUGUGACAGCAGGAUUUCCUGGUACAACAGAUACAGAGAUGCUUGAAGGCUGCUGCUGGAAGGCAUGGAAGUGGCCCAAACCAUAUGAACAAAUGCUUUUAGUUUGUUCAGUGAUGAGUUGGAACGUUUUUGUCAAGUGCUGCCUGACAAAUGUGGAUGAUCUGUAACUGGAAGAAAGUGUAAUGUCUGAAGAGCUUUUCUUGCCUGGAGUGGGACCAUGCUUUUUAAAAUCCUACUGAGACAGUUGUUGCAAUUGUUCAGCAGAUACUGUUUUCGAAAAUUGCAUGUGAACCAAAAUCACUGUCUGCAUAUUUAAAAAACGCUUUUCCCUAAAUAACAAGCUGCCAACUGUAGGAAGGAUAAUACUAGUAUCAGAGAAAUGAGUGGUGAGCUUUAUGUGGAAAAGAAACCCUGAGUUUAUUGACCCCCUUCAAAAUAUCAGUAUCAGACUUGCUGAUGCUGAGCAUCUGUAAUAACUCAAAACAAUGGAAGUUGCAGGUAGGCUGUGCACAGUUGGUUACACAAAUUUAAACAGUCUGAUUCUUGAAGGUGGUGUCAUCUGGGAGAUAGAUGAGGUGGUGGUGUGGAAGCGUAAACUUGAAACACUUGUAAGGAGGCAAUUUAGGUGUCAUGAGGGAAGUUGUGGUUACAGAAAAGGCAUGGACUAAAGCUUCCUCUGCACUGGCUUCUGUAUUGGUUGGGGGAGAAGGAAGGUGGGCUGCUUCCUAGGCUGCCAGUUUAGUGUGAGAAGACCAAUACCACAAUGGAACUGUUCCUUUCGAGGAAAACAUGUUUACCUGUUACCUGUUUGCUGUGUGAGGGGAAAUGUCAGAGGGAGGAGUUGGAUGCACAUUGGAACUUCUGCUUGGAGCAGCCACUUGAAAAUUAACCAUGCGGUAAUGUGUUAGCAGUGCAUUUGUGUGCAGCAAACAAGCACUCCUCCACAAAGGGGGAGGGAUCAUGAAUUGGUUGCCUAAGUUGUCUUUAAAGACAAAUUAUGUACCUAAGAUGCAAUCCACCUUUAAGCGUGGCUGUUAAACCUAAUUGUCAGGAAUGCUUUCUAAAGGAAGGAAUACAAUGGUGGCAUGAUAACCAGCAAUUAAUAAGGCUACAGUUUCAGUAUUUUGGUACAUUCCAAAAGGAUUCAGUAACCACCCUGUAGUCUGCAGCCAAAAAUGACAGCAUUGGAUGCUAGCAAUCAACUUCCUUUAGAAAGUUGGAAGAAUUCCUACAGCUCAUGGAAUAUGCUAAUUUGUAAAUAACGUACCACAGAAAUGCAAAACACUGAGCAGUAGCAUCUAAAACUUUGGGGAGGUCUGAAAUGAGUAACCAUCUGACUGCAAAGAUGUAUACUAAUGGUCUGACUGCAGGCCAGGUGUGUAUUGGCUUGCUGAGUAUCUCAUCUGCUUUGGUUAUUGUUAGUGAGCAGUAACCAGCUACUUUGGCCAAAGCCUGCUCAUUCUCCACAAGUAACUGUGUAAAUCAGUCUGUUGGAUGUAUCAGAAGCUGCAGAAUGCUGUUACAGAAGAACUCGAUUGCUUUCAACAAAAUCGCUUAUUUUUGUUAAAUGUUGCUGAGGAAGGGUAGGUAUUUCUAUGUGCAAUGCUUUGUACGUGCUCUUUCUUGAAUAAAGAAGGAUGUGAAAAACCUGCC